UUCACCCCUAAGGUGAACCUUUAAAUUCAUCUCCCCUCUUAUUACCAAUCAAAAUGUUAUAUAAAUUAAUAAUAAAAUAUAUUAUUUUGUAAAAAAAAAUCUAAAAUAAUUGAAAAAAAAUAAUGAAGCUCAUUUUAAUGACGCUAACGCCACUAACUAAACCCUAAAUCUUAAAUUCUAAACCCUAAACCUUAAAUCUAAACCCUAAACCCUAAAUUCUAAACUCAAACUCUAAACCCUAAACCCAAACCCUAUAUAUUAAACCCAAAUCUUAAACCAUAAACCCAAACCGUACACUCUAAACCCAAACCCUAGACCUUAAACUCAAACCCUAGAUCCUAAACCCAAACCUAGACUCUAAACCCAAAUCUUAAACCCUAAAGAAACAACAUCAACAUUAACCCAAACCUUUAGGAUAUAAGAUUUGAGUUCAGGGUUUACGAUUUGAAUUUAGGGUGUAGGGAUUAGGUUUGGAUAUAUGGUUUGAGUUUAGAGUCUAUGAAUUGAGUUUAGAGUCUAUGAAUUGAGUUUAGGAUAUAGGGUUUGGGUUUAGGGUUUACGGUUUGGGUUUAGGGUUUAGGAUUUGGGUUUAGGAUUUGGGUUUAGGAUAUAGGGUUUGGGUUUAGGGUUUAGGAUUUGGGUUUAGGAUAUAGGGUUUGGGUUUAGGGUUUAAGAUUUGGAUUUAGGGUUUAGGGUAUAGAUUUAAAGUUUAGGGUUUAGUUUGUGGCGUUAGCAUCAUUAAAAUUGGCGUUAUUAUUUUUUUUCAAUUAUUUCAUAUUUUUUUAAAUAAAAUUAAUCUAUUUUA
rnacentral:lncRNA from 1 species